CUUGAAGAUCACUAAAAUAUGAUGUCGGCCAUCGUUUUUCAACAAACGAGAGCGUGUUCCUGUGUGCUCAUCACGAUCCGUAACGCCAGCAUUCGGGAAGAAAUUGUCCCCAAAAAACAGUCUCUGCUGGCUGAGACAAGAAAAACGCCCAGCUGUGCGGGCAGAGCUAUAAAAGGGCGCGCAGCCAACGCGCUCUAUCCAGUUGAAAAGAGUGCGUUGUAAAGAACAGUCAUAAGCAGUCCGCUAAGAGAUUAGUAGCAACUACGAAGUGAAGUCGCAAACAUGUGCAAGGCUGUUGUAGAUUGUAAAGAAAGAAUGAAGGAUUGGAAGAGUGUGAGGAGACGCUGAGCAAACGGCCUUCAAAUCGAAAGUGGUGUGAGUCAUGCUGCCACCAGAUAUCCAUGCGAAAAGCCACCAGGCAUUGGUCACGGAGCACACUCGUUUCCUGCUCCUCGCACGUUAAUGGCAACGAUGAUGAGGAACGGAACACAAACAAGAAACUACGUCGCAGUGGGUCACUGAAUGAAUCCGCGUCCCGGUAGCAACAAUAGUUCGACUAUGGCUGAGUUACUGAGUGAGUCUCAACGUCUGUCCGAGUCCCCCCACGUCCAACGCCAGGCACUGAGUUCCGCAAACCAGCCGAUGGCCGAUUCUACACAGAUCGCCGGAGCAGGGAGCAGCAGCAGCAAACACCACCGAGUCUCCUCUGCAUGCCAAUGCCCAUGCAAUUCAGUCGCAGCGGACAGAACAUUGGGGACAAGGCGGAAUGCGCGCGGCAGCAGCUCCAGCUCGCAUCAGCUUACCUGCGUUUGAAGCUCUCGUUGCCAACCACCGACAAUCACCACCUAUUCUGCAUUGAACGCUUCGCAGCUGCUGAUCACCACCCACCCAUCCGCACAGAUACACGGUAUUUGGUAUAUCAGCUGCGAACAAAAUAUUGCUUUUUAAACAAAAUUCCAGAGAAAAGAACAGCGGAACAGAACAUUUAUCAUCGAAACGACACUGAGGAACUGCUGUAAUCCUUUUGGUUGAACACCUUGUGGGAUUGUUAUUGUGAUAAACAAUUGAAUGGCAGUCGUCGAGUUUUUAUCUUUAUCUUUAUUCGCUCGGUACACUUUCCUGGACUUCUCUUUCACCGUUUAUGAUUUUGGCAAGCGAUUAUUGGACCCUUUGCAUUCAAAUUCCCCAUCUUCCUAAUCAAUAGGCUAGAUAAGGCCGCUUAAAUCUUUGUAGCUGCAUGUCACAGUUGAUCGGUUCCUGUGGGUGCAUUUGUUUGAUGGGAUUACUUUGCCGUCUUCAAGUAUUCACGGUCUUGAGGGCACCAGACAAGGAUCUUCCAAGCAAAUUUAAACGGAAGCCGGCGUGAGAGUGUGUAGACUAGGCACGACCAUCACUUUUCGUUUUUUUUUUUUUUAGCGUUGCAUCGCAGUUGAUCGGUGCCUGCGGGCAUGUAUAAAUGGAACCUAGCGAGGCGGAAGCUUGAGCUCUUCAAUUCUAUGACCCCAAACAACGCUCCUGCGACAGCAAGCCUUCAAUUAGAAUAUGUGCAAAGAAGCAUAACUAAUCAACUGAACAAGCGUAAAAGCUAAGAUAAAUGCAACCGAUAUCUUUUCUUUCGUAUUUUGUAGAAAUACAUUUUCAUGGAGUGAUAAUCUACAGGGAAUACCACGUCGCCGCUAUGGGCCCGCCCAAUUCAUGUAAAUUUGUGUUUUUAUGUCCAAAAACAUUUUUUGUCUUGUAGCAUUAUGGCUGCAGUUGAAUGUACCUGCCCAUAAUUAAUGCCUGCAUAUCAAGAGUAAUUGAUGCUAAAACGCAACAGGGAAAACAUUCUGAACAUCGAACAGGGAACAUCGGCCUCUGUAAGGAAUGUGCAAUCGAUAUCCUAUUCUCUCGUAUUUUAUAGAAAUACAUGUUGUGGAACAGUUUAGAUGCUAUGGAAUUAUACCACGUAGUUGGACCACGACACAAAUUUAAUUUAAGUAUGGAGAAAAACGUUUUUCUGUUUUCAAGCUGUUGCCGUUGAAUGUGCCUGCCCACAUCUCAUCUAUAGCUUCUGAGUUAAUCCAACAGCGAACCGUCUAUUCUUGGGACCGCGUUUGAGAAAUGGUUGGAUCUUUACAUUGCUCAUUUAAUACUAAAGUUUAUCUUCUUUCCCAUUGACCUAGAGGCUUAUUUAUGAAUUCAUUGCAGUUUUUAUAAUAAGACUUCGGUUUCAUGCAACCAGUCUUAUCAAUCACAUAGUUGACUCACCUGUGCACAUUUGCCUGUAUUGAAACCAACCGAGAACAUGUAGCAAAAUUUCUUGAGGCAAUGGGAAUCAAAUGCCAACUUGAAAGCAAUAACACCAACACUAAGUCGUCGCAGUCCAACAUCCAUACUACACGUCGAAUUCGAAUUGAAGCCGCUGGUCAGGUCUGAACCCAACUAGAACCCGCUUACACCUGUUUUUCAGCAAUUUUUCUGGCCAGGAUGUGGAUUAUUUGUAACAGAAACUUCGUUUGUCUUGAGCGUCGCUAAGAUUGGCCGUUUGACCCUUCCAAAAGUGAGAUUCUAAGCAGCCUUAAAUUUAUUUUACAAUUCUUACAGCGGUGCCGCACAGUUGAGUGUGCCUGUGGGCAUCGAUUAAGCAAUAUUUGAUCCGAAGGGCAGGGCAGUGGACCGUUCCGUUGAUGAAGAUGUGCACCGCUCCGAGCUGGCUAAGUCUACUGCUGUGCUGCUGCAAAUCGUUAAAGGGAACCCAAAACGAUGCAUCAAGUCCAUCCAGUUAGCCUUCUCUUCCUAAGCACAGCUCACCUGCGCUACAACGACAAUCAAUUCAAGCGCACCUGCUUCUGCAAGCGAGCACAACGUCAAAUGAGCAUCGAGCACAGAAAGCAAGCAAACAACCAGGUUAAUGGCUUCCUCUGCUGACAAUGAACUUUACGCCUUUACAUUGCAGCCAAGAAGCCUCUUAGUGCAUAUUCAACUACCAGCACAGAGCUUCUCAAUGACUGAGUAAGCAUUGUUCUAACCGCAUCGGGUCCUGACCGAGUCCGACUUGGGUGCCUCUGGCCGCAAGAUCUACAUUGGGACAGAGCCAGAAUAGGAGCGCUUAUCUCGCGCAAUGAUGUGCUGAGCUGAACCUAUGCACGUACUGCAUUGCACCGCACAGAUAUGUGCGUUCGGUCCACGCUAAAGGGAAUCAAAUGCGUUUGGACCGAGAGCCGAUACACCGCACCAUCACCAGUAUUCGCUGUGAAGUGAGCUGAUGUGUUGUCGUUGUUACAGGGCUGCUGCUGCAACUGCGCCACAGGUAUCCUCGCCUAGCGUCGGUAACUAUCAUUUGUCAAUUUUAGCGGCCGGCAGUGUACAUCAAACAUUGAAGUCCGGAGUCCGGAGUGGCAUGUCAUUUACGGCAGAUGUGAAACCAGCAAUUGGUGCUCAAGCAUUCGAUUUCAAAUCUGAAGAUUGAAGACUAUCGACGCAGACUUCCAGAACGGAGCGCAGGAAGGACAAAGCACUUCGAUCACCAGCGGGUUGUCGUUUUACUUGCACUUUCCUUCCGUAGGUAGCCCAGAAUUCGAGAAAACCCAUAUCCAUCGCAAAGGGAAACAAAUGCGAUUAGUGUUUGAAGACCAACCAGGGUGUGCAAUGUGUCGCACCAAGAUUAGCCAGUUGAGCCCAUAACUCCUGGCCCGCCGAUCAUCGUACCGCAAAAGGGAAUCAAAUGCGAGGUGGUACUACAGCAGUCGAGCUCCUCGUUGAGCUCCUGGUUUAAGUCGAACUCCCAACUGAGCUCCUGGUCGAGUUCUUCACUUCAGCGUUAUUAUCGUAAAGGGAAUCCAACACGAUGUACAGCGACAGCGGCAGGCAGGGUCACCCAAUACACAAAGGUAUACGAAUAUGAGCAGGGUUCUAGUCCGUGCAAUUACGCUUUUCAGAACCUCUCACAAACUAAUCUGCACGUGUCUAAAUCUGGCUGCUAUCUGCAAUCUGCCAGGCGCGACAUCAAUCAUAUUCGUCAUGUUGGUCUCAAAGGGAAUCCAAGAGACACGCGCCCCGCGGUACAACCAACUGAAGACCAAAUAGAUUUUGUUAUGCAUUAUUAACCAUGCAUUUUAGAAGUCAUAUCCUGAUAAUUUUUUCCUUUAGUGUUUUCAAAUCUAUGUAUUCUAAACGAAUCGUUUCAUUAUCUUGUAGGCUUGUAUAAACCUUUAAUUUAUUACUUGUAAACCUUUCCUCUAAGAGUCAAUGCGGACAUCCGACUUCGCUGACGAUUGCAUCGCGACUGCAUUACCCUAGGAUAGACGGUCCGGUCUAGAAGUAGCAGCAAGAGUCAGUUAAAUAUCAGUACCGCUCUUAGCACAAGAUUCCUGGCAGUAAGAUGAAUUGGAUGCAUCGUACAUAGACGUUUCAAACUGCAGAGGACCAUUUGACCCCCGAACCAAGGCAGGGAGACCA
rnacentral:sRNA from 1 species